UACGAGGGGGGCAAAUGUUGUUCGGAAUCACUGGGCGUAAAGGGAGCGUAGGCGGGUUCUUAAGUAAGGUGUUUAAUCCCGGGGCCCAACCCCGGACCGGCACUUUAAACUGGGAAUCUUGAAUAGUGGAGAGGUCAGUGGAAUUGGGGGUGUAGCGGUGGAAUGCGUAGAGAUCCCCAAGAACACCAGUUGCGAAGGCGGCUGACUGGACACAUAUUGACGCUCAUGCACGAAAGCGUGGGGAGCAAACGGG
rnacentral:rRNA from 1 species